CUGAUCUCAAAUCAGGUAGGACUACCCGCUGAACUUAAGCAUAUCAAUAAGCGGAGGAAAAGAAACUAACAAGGAUUCCCCUAGUAACUGCGAGUGAAGCGGGAAAAGCUCAAAUUUAAAAUCUGGCAGUCUUUGAUUGUCCGAGUUGUAUUCUAGAGAAGUGUCUUCCGCGUUGGACCGUGUACAAGUCUCUUGGAACAGAGCGUCAUAGAGGGUGAGAAUCCCGUCUUUGACACGGACUACCAGUGCUUUGUGAUGCGCUCUCAAAGAGUCGAGUUGUUUGGGAAUGCAGCUCAAAAUGGGUGGUAAAUUCCAUCUAAAGCUAAAUAUUGGCGAGAGACCGAUAGCGAACAAGUACCGUGAGGGAAAGAUGAAAAGCACUUUGGAAAGAGAGUUAAACAGUACGUGAAAUUGUUGAAAGGGAAACGCUUGAAGUCAGUCGCGUUAGUCAGAACUCAGCCUUGCUUUUGCUUGGUGCACUUUCUGAUUGACGGGCCAGCAUCAGUUUUGACUGCAGGAGAAAGGUUGGAGGAAUGUGGCACCUUCGGGUGUGUUAUAGCCUCUGAUUGUAUACUGUGAUUGGGACUGAGGAACUCAGCACGCGCAAGCUGUGCUUAGGAUGCUGGCGUAAUGGCUUUAAACGACCCGUCUUGAAACACGGACCAAGGAGUCUAACAUGCCUGCGAGUAUUUGGGUGGUAAACCCGAGUGCGCAAUUAAAGUGAAAGUUGGGAUCUCUGUCGUGGAGAGCACCGACGCCCGGACCAGACCUUCUGUGACGGAUCUGCGGUAGAGCAUGUAUGUUGGGACCCGAAAGAUGGUGAACUAUGCCUGAAUAGGGUGAAGCCAGAGGAAACUCUGGUGGAGGCUCGUAGCGAUUCUGACGUGCAAAUCGAUCGUCAAAUUUGGGUAUAGGGGCGAAAGACUAAUCGAACCAUCUAGUAGCUGGUUCCUGC
rnacentral:rRNA from 1 species